GCAAGCGGCAGCACUGACAUCAGCGGACCGCCCACCGGCCGCCAUCUUGGAGCUCAUCCGCCUGCGGAGAGGACUUUAGCUGGAGUCCACCUGUUUAACUACAGUUUUUUUCACAAACCACACGUUCGAGCCCCAUCUCCACCCACCGGAUCACUUCACGGGACUUCAGUGUUUAACCAUUCGGUCGGUGUGAGUGUCAGGUCGGUGUUUCCGGUUCGCUGUGUCCGUUACAGUGCGGGUGUUAGCAUGGAUCCGCGGUGUUCUCACUGCUCCGCUCCCAUACCGCGCCAGGCUAAAGGCUACCGCCGGAAGUCCCUCCUGUCGGUGGUGGACCCGCGGAGCGCGAGCCUCCUGUUCCCCCACCUGAGGCACGAGGACGCCUUCCUCUGUUACGCAUGCGUCCGCUUCGUCUUCACGAGGACCAAGAGACGCGGAAAACGGCGGGUAUGUCCGGAACUACUGAAGCCGGGUACCGGAACCCCGGAGCCUCAGGACGGACCGGAGUUUAAGAGAUCCGGACCCUUCAGUCCGCUGGCGGAACACGACUACACCGCCCCGGACCCGGCUCGGAGCCCCGGGCCCGGUCCGUCUCAGACCCGGGCUCGUCCUCGGGGCAGACCCCGGAUCGGAACCGUGUCCGAGGCCUGUGACCGUCUGAGCAGGAGGCGGUUCGGUUCGGGUCUGAGGAGGAUGCUCCAGGUCCCGGGGUUCAAGAAGAGCCUGAUCCGGGUCUGUUCCGGGAUCAUUAACAAGGAGCGUGUCCAGAUGCUGAGGGACAUGGACGGACCGUACAGGAAACCGUUCAGCACCGACAGCCAAUCAGAGUUCCGCUGGGAUCAGACUACUUCCUGGGCGGAGUCCAAGGCUCCUCUGACUGUGGCCUGUCUCAGGUCCAUGUUCCCACCCACCAACAGGAUCAGGAAGCAGAGCUACAGCGACUGCACCGGGAGACGGUCCAGGCGCCUGACGGAGUCGGAGGUCGGGCAGAUGCUGGACCGCAGACUCUCCGUCCUGCUGUCCGUCCCUCUGUACACGGGGAGCCGCAGGGCGGGCUUGGUCCAGACGGCGCUGGGGGUGGAGCUGCUGCGUCACCGCUGUCCUCUGAAGGUCUUCAAUGUCCUCAACGGCCUGGGUCUGUCUCAGUGUAAGUCCAGCUCCAGGACCCAGGCCCACAGAGUCCACCAGGACCACCAGGGACAGGUGAGGACCUGGAAGGACCAGAUCCAGCUCAGUGGGCGGAUCCAUCAGUGCAGUGAAGAGUCCAAAAAGGCAACAGGGUAUGCCUUCAGCUGGAGUAGAGUGAGGGUUCCAUCUCCGUUCAGAACUGACCCGUCCCAGCGUCCUCACUCUGUGGUCACCUGGGCGUUUCGAUUCGCUCACCAGAGUCGGGUGAACUUCCGAGCGGUCAGAGGAGUCCAGGUGAGGGCGGCACAGGUGUCGCCGUCCAGCGUCCUGCCAUCCAGACAGACAUACGAACGCCUGCGACAGCGAAUGAAAACCAUGGUGAUGCGGAUCAUCGUAGAUCAGCUGACAGCCCUGAAGAAACUGAGGAUGCAGGUGGAGAGACACACGCCUCACCUGUACAGCAGACUGAUGAAGGAGAAGAGCACCACUGUGAGUCUGGGGGCCGUUGUACCAGACCCCUCAGAGGAGUCUGUCAGUGCAGCCUUGGGACUGAAGGACUACGUACCUGAACUGUACCAGAAACCGUUUCACCUGCUGUACUGUGGAGAUGGACUGGACCGAGACCGACCCGAACACGCCAACGGAACAUGUGACCCCCCGCCUACUGGGGCCAAGGCUGACGGGCUGAUUGAGGUUCCACCCGAGUUUCAGAGAGAACAGCUGUUCCACGAGGAGAUGCUGAAGCUGCUGCUGAAGGACACAUCAGAACCGUCUCGAGGAUCUCUGCAGCACAUCCUGUCUCUGUUCCAGUUCCAGACGUUCAACGCCGCCGCCAAAGACCAUUUCCUCAACACCUGGGAUUUCAUUACGUUCGUAACCGCCGCCUACGUGACACUGUUCGCCGUGACCCAGCUGGACCUGGACUCGGUGCACCAGCGUCCCUCUGGGUUCCCGUCGGAGGUGGAGGACCAGAUGCGGUGCCUGGGGGAUCUGGCUCACAGACUGGUGGAUCUGGUCUGGAUGGCUCCGCCUCAGGAGGAUGUAAACACCGCCGCCACCGCGGCGACUGAUGAUGAUGGACAGCAGCAGAAGAACGUCUACCCGUUCUGUUACUGCAGACGAGAUCGUCCCGGUGAUCAGCUGAUCCGGUGCUGCAGUAACGUGUGUCCCGGAAUCUGGUUCCAUCAGACCUGUGCCCAGACUCGGACCGGACUGGACCUGAUGGAGGACUGGUUCUGUAGUCCGGGAUGCAGAGAGGACGGGUCCUACAUCUACUGUCACUGUAAAGAGCGGAGAGGAGGACAGAUGGUCCAGUGUGGACAGAUGGACCGCUGCCGGAGACACCAGUGGUACCACAGGGACUGUCUGAGCCCGCAAGAACAGGACCACUCCCAAACCGCUUCCUGGUUCUGUUCCGACGCCUGCUCGAGGGCGUCCGAAGGCGACGACUUCCUGUUGAACUACACGAAGGCUGUGGUGUGGGAGGGGCUGUAUCACAUGACCCGACGGGACGCCAUCCAGGAGGGGGACGGGGAGUCCAUGACGGACUUCUGCCGGACAGACCUGGUUCUGCUCUGGACCCGGAACCACCUGGGACUGUUCCGCAGCUACCACCAGAUGCUCACAGGUAAGUUCAAACUCAAACGUCUGAUUGAUCACCUGAAACCCAAGGCUGUUGUCAUGGUAACCGUGUCCACAGGGAUGGAGGGGUUCUACCCGGCCCGGGUGAGGCAGGACCUGAAGUGGAACCGGGUCGUGAAUCCUCAAGGAACAGCAGGAGGAAACGUGAGCCUGGACCUGAUGACGGAGCUAAUGGUCAAUGAGUUCAAAGGUGCCAUCGAGUUCGGUAAAGGCAGCUUCAGACCUGCGCAGGUAGACCAGAGCGCUCAGCUAGCCGGACCUCAGGCCCAGCACCUGGACCGGUUCUUCUCCUCGUCCAGAUCCCCCACCCUGACCCGCUACCUGACCCGAUUGAAGACCUCGACCUGCAGGUGGAGGGAGGACGUGGACCGGUUUGUGUCCGAGUUCAGAGCGGACCACCUGUUCUCCUUCAGACCAGGACGAGGACACCAAGGCUUCAACAGGUUCACCUAUGACUCCCGAGUCCAAACCCCCGACAAGAUGGGCCGGACCAUGUGGACUCUGAGCCAGGACCUGGACCGACGCAGGGACCAGAUCCUCUGAGACCCUGGAUGGGUCCAGUUAUGACAGAACCAGGUCUGAAGUCAAGACCAAACCCGAGAUUGGAUCCCAUCUGGUCCCGUUUCAGACUGAAGCUGGACCGUGUUUCUGUUGUCAAAUGUCUGGUAUUUUUGUAAAACUGUCAGUGUUAGAGCUGCAGAAAAAUAAAAGUUUGGAGCAGGGUUCUGCUUCUGUUUGGUUCUGGUUCUGUUUUAUCAUCUGAACCCAGUCACAUCUCAGAUGGACCGGUUCUGGUUCUGGUUUCAGGAAACAAACUUGACAGUAUUUUGACAGAACAUCGUCCGUCUGCCACCACGUGUUAAAACAGCUGUCCAAUCACAGCCCAGGUGCUUGUGAACGUGCUCAGUGUCGGUGCAGUACUGUGCUCAGAUGCUUGUGAGCGUGCUCAGUGGCGGUGCGGUGCUCA